UACGUAGGGGGCAAGCGUUGUCCGGAUUUAUUGGGCGUAAAGAGCGUGUAGGCGGCCUGGUAGGUCAGCUGUGAAAACUCGAGGCUCAACCUCGAGACGCCGGUUGAAACCAUCAGGCUAGAGUCCGGAAGAGGAGAGUGGAAUUCCCGGUGUAGCGGUGAAAUGCGCAGAUAUCGGGAAGAACACCCGUGGCUAAGGCGGCUCUCUAGGCCGAUACUGACGCUGAGGAGCGAAAGCGUGGGGAGCGAACAGG
rnacentral:rRNA from 1 species